ensembl:ncRNA C27A12.11 ncRNA
UGUGCUAACAUUUUGUGAGAUGGUGUCGAAUAAUAGCACUCGACCCGAAACGGUGGGAAGGGGGGAGGACAUCCGCCGGAGUCAGUCACCUACAACAGGAUUAGCUGCUCCAAUUGGGGUGUGCUAAGU